UUUUUUUUUUCCAGAAUACUUGAUUUGUUCAGGCCAAAACAAACCAAAGGGUCCCACAAGAAGGCAGAAAAUUGGAUCAGGCAUAAAUACUCUCUCUCUCUCUCCCUCUUGGGCGAGAAUGCUGGUGGGAUCUCUGCCCUCUCCCUGACACACCUGAAGCAAAACACCUGCAAAACAUCUGGCAAACAGCUGACUAUGCUGGGAUGUGACAUUCAGUCUUUGCCUGAGCUUUGUUUCACUGUGGCAGGUCAGCAGGGGGCUGCUGCUUUCUGCAGUAGAUUGCCUGCUCACCCACCAAGCCAAACGUGUGCCCAGGGCGAGAAUGCUGGUGGGAUCUCUGCCCUCUCCCUGACACACCUGAAGCAAAACACCUGCAAAACAUCUGGCAAACAGCUGACUAUGCUGGGAUGUGACAUUCAGUCUUUGCCUGAGCUUUGUUUCACUGUGGUAGAGAUCUCCUCACUGAUCUGCACGUCGUGGUCCUUGUUGUCAUCACAAAGAUUUCUAAUGUGUCUUGUCCUCUGUUUAAGACAUCCCAGUGGUUCCCAUCAGUUUUGGAAACGCUCCUUUGUUGGAUUUUGUAAAUAAGAAGCUUUUGAACUAAAAACUGCUGAAAGACUGUAAAUAGCACAACCCUCACCUGCAUUAUAACUAAAUCUCUAAACUUGCA